rnacentral:lncRNA from 1 species
CAUUUUCUUGACAGGAAAUAACUUAUCUGAGAUUGUUCAAGGGAAUUGAUGAAAUUUUUACAGAAGAUGUGAAGUUCAGAAUGAAUAAUGACCCAGCAUCUAUAAUGGUUGGAAAAGUUUUUCUCCUCCUUUUGUAUUGCAGUCAGUCAGAAGCAAUGUUUUAUUCUCACAGAUAAGAUUUUCAAAGAAACUGCUAGAAAUCAGGUUGAGGGAACAGGAUGGAUUCUUUUAAGCAUAAGGCUGAAGGUAACUAUUCCAUAUUCUACAAGAAAUAAGCACACACAUAUGUUUUAACAGCAGAGUAGCCUCAUUAAGUUAUUCUUGUCUGCCUUAGGUGAUAUUUUCUAGGCUUAUUUAGAGAAAUUGGUCUAUUUACAGAUGUCAUUCCUAUCUCCUUAUCACUGUCUGAAAUGGAGGAAAAGAAUAUUUCUACUCUUACCUCUUCACACCCAGUUAUGUUGGAUGGACCUCCUCAGAAUUGAAAUUGGUUAUGAGACCCUCCACAGAGGACCAAGUAAGAACAAUGGCGUAUAUUAUUAACUAAAAGUAUCACAUUUCUUGCUUUAUUAUUUAUUUGGUUUUUUGACCAUCCUGGUACAGGUAACGUACUGUAGUUUGUUGCCUCAGGAAAGAUUUCAUUUUGGUUACGUGGCACAGAGAGAAGUUGGCUUCAACUUCCCUUGGGUCCUUCCUGUACUUGGCUUGGUGCUAAAGGUUCACACCGCUGUGGGAAUCUUGCAUGCAUAAUUCGAAUUUCUACUUUCAGGUCAGAAUCAAAGGAGGAUUAGAAAGGAAUCCAUUUCAAAAUUUAUAGACCACUUCAGGAAUACUCAUCCUAUCUUCCCAGUUGUGAAUGUAUUAUAUUAAAUUUACUAAAAACUGCUAAGUACCCUGCCAAACUUGUUGUUAAUAUUAUAAUCAAAGGUACUUAUUUAUUGGUAUCUCUGCAGCCACUGAAAAUGCCAUGCAAUUAUAAACAGAAUAUAUUUUCUCCUUUGAAAUGGCAAAGUCCCAGAACUUCUAACACCCACCCUCUUCUAGAUGCAUUAGUUAUUGUAAACUAGCUUUCUAGAAUCCUAGAUUAUGGAGAACUAAGCAC